rnacentral:rRNA from 1 species
CUUCCUUCGGGAAGGUAGACACUGGCGCACGGGUGAGUAACACGUAAGUCAUCUGCCCUUGGGUCUGGCACAACUCCAGGAAACCGGGGCUAAUUCCAGAUGAUACCGAAAGGUCAAAGUUUCGACGCCCAAGGAUGAGCUUGCGUCUGAUUAGCUAGUUGGCGGGGUAAUGGCCCACCAAGGCGACGAUCAGUAGCCGGUCUGAGAGGAUGAUCGGCCACAUUGGGACUGAGACACGGCCCAGACUCCUACGGGAGGCAGCAGUAAGGAAUAUUGCGCAAUGGACGAAAGUCUGACGCAGCAACGCCGCGUGCAGGAUGACGGCCCUUUGGGUUGUAAACUGCUGUAGCAGGGGAAUAAGAGCCCACUCGGUGGGUGUGAAGGUACCCUGAAAGUAAGCUCCGGCUAACUACGUGCCAGCAGCCGCGGUAAUACGUAGGGAGCAAGCGUUGUCCGGAUUCACUGGGUGUAAAGGGUGCGCAGGCGGGUUGGCAAGUCAGAGGUGAAAUCUCACAGCUUAACUGUGAAACUGCCUUUGAUACUUCCAAUCUUGAGUUAAAGAGAGGUUGAUGGAAUUUCAGGUGUAGCGGUGAAAUGCGUAGAUAUCUGAAAGAACACCAGUGGCGAAGGCGGUCAACUGGCUUUUAACUGACGCUCAGGCACGAAAGCGUGGGUAGCGAACAGGAUUAGAUACCCUGGUAGUCCACGCCCUAAACGAUGAAUACUUGGUGUUGGACCGUAAGGUUCAGUGCCGUAGGUAACCUGUUAAGUAUUCCACCUGGGGGAGUACGCCCGCAAGGGUGAAACUCAAAGGAAUUGACGGGGGCCCGCACAAGCGGUGGAGCAU